rnacentral:rRNA from 1 species
AGCAGUCGCCGCGGUAAUACGAAGGGGGCUAGCGUUGUUCGGAAUUACUGGGCGUAAAGCGCACGUAGGCGGAUAUUUAAGUCAGGGGUGAAAUCCCGCAGCUCAACUGCGGAACUGCCUUUGAUACUGGGUAUCUUGAGUAUGGAAGAGGUUAGUGGAAUUGCGAGUGUAGAGGUGAAAUUCGUAGAUAUUCGCAGGAACACCAGUGGCGAAGGCGGCUAACUGGUCCAUAACUGACGCUGAGGUGCGAAAGCGUGGGGAGCAAACAGGAUUAGAUACCCGCGUAGUCCAUGUCUCUUAUAC